UAUUCGGAAGUGACUCUGCCACAGGGAGAAAGCGGUACUGACAAAGACACGGCGAAAACGGCCACAACCACGGUAAAAGUAGGGUCAAAGGAUAUCCGGAUCUACUGGGAGUAAAGGAGCGCAGCCGGUCGGCAAGUCUGAGGUGAAGACCCGGGGCUCAACCCCGGUACAGCACUGGUAGACUGUCGUAAGUGAGCGUCGGAGGGGUAAACGGAAUACCUAGUGUACCGGUGAAAAGCGUAGGAUGAUAGGAGGAACAUCAGUGGAGAAGCCGGCUUAAUGGACGAUUACUGACGGUGAGGCUCCAAAGCAUGGUGCGUUAACAGGAGUAGAUACCCUGGUAGUCCACGCCGUAAACGAUGAAUAAUAGGUGUUGGGAACCAUGGCAUCACAGGAGCCGUAGCAGACGCAGUAAGUAUUCCACCUGGGGAGUACGAUAGCAAGAAUGAAACUCAAAGGAAGUGACGGGGAACCGCACAAACGGAGGAGCAUGUGGUUUAAAUCGAAGCAACGCGAAGAACCAUACCAAGUCUUGACAUCCUUAUGAACGGUAGUUAUCAGUACUUUUUGUUCGGAGCAGGAGUGACAGGUGAUGCAUGGUGAUAGUCAGCUGGUGUCGUGAGAUGAUGGGUUAAGUCCCGCAACGAGCGCAACCAUUAUAUGUAGUCGUCAGCGGUUAGGCUGGGCACUCUAGAGAGACUGCCAAGGAUAACCUGGAGGAAGGCGGGGACGACGUCAAAUCAUCAUGCCCCGUAUGACUUGGGCUACACACGUGAUACAAUGGCGUAUACAAAGGGUAGCAAAGCUGUGAAGCCGAGCUAUAUCUCUAAAAAGUACGUCUCUAGUUCAGACUAGUAGUCUGCAACCUUGCCUACACGAAGCUGGAAUUACUCGUAAUCGGAGAUCAGAAUGCUACGCUGAUACGUAAUCGGUCACGUCAUCACGCCCUGAACGGUAACAUGAUCCACCAAGUGUNNNCCUCUGUAGAUCUAUUUUUUUAUUUUUUUUU
rnacentral:rRNA from 1 species